CGGUUGAUCCUGCCGGAGGCCACUGCUAUCGGGGUUCGAUUAAGCCAUGCGAGUCGAGAGGUGCAAGACCUCGGCGCACUGCUCAGUAACACGUGGAUAACCUACCCUCAGGAGGGGGAUAACCCCGGGAAACUGGGGAUAAUACCCCAUAGUUCAGGGAUGCUGGAAUGCCCCCUGAUCCAAAGGUCCGCCGCCUGAGGAUGGGUCUGCGGCCGAUUAGGUAGUUGUUGGGGUAAAGGCCCAACAAGCCUUUGAUCGGUACGGGUUGUGAGAGCAAGAGCCCGGAGAUGGAUUCUGAGACACAAAUCCAGGCCCUACGGGGCGCAGCAGGCGCGAAAACUUUACAAUGCGAGAAAUCGUGAUAAGGGAACCCCGAGUGCCCGUAAAUUCGGGCUGUCCGCCAGCGUAAAAAACUGGUGAAGAAAGGGCCGGGCAAGACCGGUGCCAGCCGCCGCGGUAAUACCGGCGGCUCGAGUGGUGGCCACUAUUACUGGGCUUAAAGCGUCCGUAGC
rnacentral:rRNA from 1 species